CGCUAUGGUAACCCAGCUGACUUUGGUCUCUUCAGGCAAAGCGCAACUGUUGAAGGUGUCAUCUUUCUCAAGAGCCCAUUCUUUUACCCUCAUUCCCGGACAAGCUCCGUGGACUAGUUGAGCAUGGUUGCGCCCUUCAAAGCUUCUGAGGCCAAGAACCAGCUCCUUAGAAGUCCACAGCGGUUGGAAUUCGAAAACUUCCCCCCCGAGUUGAUGUUUUCUCACUCCUGGCCGGUUCACAGACAAAUGCCGAAGCUUUCUGCCGGGCUUUUAGUGCUUGUCGAUGUGAGCGAAAUCUCGGAAAUCAAAGUGGGCGGGUCCAAGAACUCCUGAUUGCUAUCGGAUCAAAAUAAAGUGUGACACUUUCACCACCGGGCACGUCGACUAACUUUGAUCUCCCCGGAAAGUUGCUCGGACACUUGGUCUAAUAUUGUGAAAGCUUCUGGCAAAUUCAAUUGAGCCUCACUCUUGACACAAUGACGACGAACCUGUGGUGCCAAUUGGAUCCCCAGCAUGGAAUGGUGACCCCUUUGGUCCAUCAUUAAUUCUAUCCCUUUGUCAUGUGGUUAAUCCUCCUCCUCCUCCUUCUCCUGUUCUUAUUGCUCUGUCCUACUCAAGCGGGUGGGGUCUCUGACCAAAGUAGUCAUUUCUCUAGAUAAUGCGAACAAAUAUGAAGAGGUCUAUUGAUUAAUCAUAAAUUCAUGGACGGAAAGAAAUCUCUUAACAGAUAAUGAACCGCUUCCCAAAGUGGCUAUGUCGAUCAAGGAAUACAUGUAUGAGACGCCAUAAUGGCUGAGCGAAUUGGUGCCUCCCGGGCUUUGCGCUCAUUUAAAUAUUGCACUGGUAAUCACAUCACCACCUUGAGCAUGAAGCAAAUAAUCAAAAUC